rnacentral:rRNA from 1 species
UUACCGAGUGUAGGGUUCCUAGCGAGCCCAACCUCCCACCCGUGUUUACUGUACCUUAGUUGCUUCGGCGGGCCCGCCAUUCAUGGCCGCCGGGGGCUCUCAGCCCCGGGCCCGCGCCCGCCGGAGACACCACGAACUCUGUCUGAUCUAGUGAAGUCUGAGUUGAUUGUAUCGCAAUCAGUUAAAACUUUCAACAAUGGAUCUCUUGGUUCCGGCAUCGAUGAAGAACGCAGCGAAAUGCGAUAACUAGUGUGAAUUGCAGAAUUCCGUGAAUCAUCGAGUCUUUGAACGCACAUUGCGCCCCCUGGUAUUCCGGGGGGCAUGCCUGUCCGAGCGUCAUUGCUGCCCAUCAAGCACGGCUUGUGUGUUGGGUCGUCGUCCCCUCUCCGGGGGGGACGGGCCCCAAAGGCAGCGGCGGCACCGCGUCCGAUCCUCGAGCGUAUGGGGCUUUGUCACCCGCUCUGUAGGCCCGGCCGGCGCUUGCCGAACGCAAAUCAAUCUUUUUCCAGGUUGACCUCGGAUCAGGUAGGGAUACCCGCUGAACUUAAGCA